rnacentral:rRNA from 1 species
CAGUCGCCACGGUAAUACGGAGGGAGCUAGCGUUGUUCGGAAUUACUGGGCGUAAAGCGCACGUAGGCGGCUUUGUAAGUUAGAGGUGAAAGCCUGGGGCUCAACUCCAGAAUUGCCUUUAAGACUGCAUCGCUUGAAUCCAGGAGAGGUGAGUGGAAUUCCGAGUGUAGAGGUGAAAUUCGUAGAUAUUCGGAAGAACACCAGUGGCGAAGGCGGCUCACUGGACUGGUAUUGACGCUGAGGUGCGAAAGCGUGGGGAGCAAACAGGAUUAGAUACCCCAGUAGUCCCUGUCUCUUAUAC